UACGUAGGGGGCAAGCGUUGUCCGGAAUCAUUGGGCGUAAAGCGCAUGUAGGCGGCUCGAUAAGUCUGCUGUGAAAGUCCAGGGCUCAACCCUGGGAUGCCGGUGGAUACUGUCGAGCUCGAGUCCGGAAGAGGCGAGUGGAAUUCCUGGUGUAGCGGUGAAAUGCGCAGAUAUCUGGAGGAACACCGGUGGCGAAGGCGGCAUCCUGGACCGGCAUUGACGCUGAGGCGCGAAAGCCAGGGGAGCAAACGGG
rnacentral:rRNA from 1 species